AAGGCUGUAGCGCAGUGGUCGUCGCGCCCGACCGUCAUUCGGGAGGACGCCGGUUCGAAUCCGGCCAGCCUUGCCA
rnacentral:tRNA from 1 species